rnacentral:rRNA from 1 species
UACGGAGGGUGCGAGCGUUGUCCGGAAUCAUUGGGCGUAAAGGGCUCGUAGGUGGCCAACUAAGUCGGACGUGAAAUCCCUCAGCUUAACUGGGGAACUGCGUCCGAUACUGGAUGGCUCGAGUUUGGGAGAGGGAUGCGGAAUUCCAGGUGUAGCGGUGAAAUGCGUAGAUAUCUGGAGGAACACCGGUGGCGAAGGCGGCAUCCUGGACCAACACUGACACUGAGGAGCGAAAGCCAGGGGAGCAAACGGG